rnacentral:tRNA from 1 species
GGCACCAUAGCCAAGUGGUAAGGCAGAAGUCUGCAAAACUUCCACGCUCCGGUCCGAAUCCGGAUGGUGCCUCCA